rnacentral:rRNA from 1 species
GCAAGUCGAACGCGAAAGUACCUUCGCGGUGCGAGUAGAGUGGCGAAAGGGCGAGCAAUGCGUUUCUAACGUGCCCCGAGGUCGAGGAUAGUCCAGGGAAACUUGGCUUAAUACUCGAUGACCCUGCGAGACCGUAUGGUUUUGCAGGCAAAGGUUUACUGCCUCGGGAUCGGGAAACGUGCUAUCGGUUUGUUGGUGGGGUAACGGCCUACCAAGACUAAGGCGGCUAGCGGGUGUGAGAGCAUGACCCGCCGCAUCGGGACUGAGACACUGCCCGGACUCCUACGGGAGGCUGCAGUAACGAAUAUUCCGCAAUGCGCGAAAGCGUGACGGAGCAAUGCCGCGUGUAGGAUGAAGCUUCUCGGAGUGUAAACUACUGUCAGGGUCUAGGAACAAAAUGACCAGACCCAGAGGAAGAGCCGGCUAACUCUGUGCCAGCAGCCGCGGUAACACAGAGGGCUCAAGCGUUAAUCGGAAUCACUGGGCUUAAAGGGUGCGCAGGCUGGCUUGAAAGUAUCGUGUGAAAUCCCACGGCUCAACCGUGGAACUGCACGGUAAACUUCAAGCCUUGAGGUCGGUAGGGGCUGCCGGAACUCUAGGUGGAGCGGUGAAAUGCGUAGAUAUCUAGAGGAACGCCAAAGACGAAGGUAGGCAGCUGGGCCGAUUCUGACGCUCAGGCACGAAAGCAUGGGUAGCGAACGGGAUUAGAUACCCCGGUAGUCCAUGCCCUAAACGAUGUGUACUAGAUCGAGAGGGCUCUGAUGCCAGCCCGGUUGAAGGAAAACUAUUAAGUACACCGCCUGGGGAGUACGGUCGCAAGAUUAAAACUCAAAGGAAUUGACGGGGGCUCACACAAGCGGUGGAGCAUGUGGC